rnacentral:lncRNA from 10 species
GUGGUACGGGGCUGUUGGCGACUCUGCCUACAGCACGGGGCAUGUGUCCAGGCUGAGCCCGCUGAGCGUCGACACAGUCGCUGUUGGCCUGGUGUCCAGCGUGGUUGUCUAUCCCGUCUACCUGGCCAUCCUUUUUCUCUUCCGGAUGUCCCGGAGCAAGCUGCACCAGUCUGCUGUCAAGUGUUCAGUGGCACACGUCGCGAGGGGCUGCCAUCACGGACGGUGCAGAUGUCCCAUAUAUCCAGCAUUCUAGGACAUUCUGUCAGAUGGCACCGGGCUCUGUCCUGUCUGCUGAGGAGGUGGCUUCUCAUCCCUGUCCUGAGCAGGUCUGAGCUGCCGCCCGCUGACCACUGCCCUCGUCCUGCAGGUGGCUGGGAGCCCGAGCCCCACACCUGCCGGGCAGCAGGUGCUGGACAUCGACAGCUGCCUGGACUCGUCCGUGCUGGACAGCUCCUUCCUCACGUUCUCAGGCCUCCACGCUGAGGUGAGGACU